rnacentral:sRNA from 1 species
AACUAAACCCGAUAGCAGUGGAAAUCCUUUUUUCUGUCGCAACCUUGAAUAUGCUGUCAUGCUGAGGCACGAAGCAUCUGCAACCUAUAAAACAGAUGCUUCGUGCCUCAGCAUGACAGAAGUUUAAAAAAGAUUGUAACGAAUAGCGGGACUAACA